rnacentral:ncRNA from 1 species
CUAACUUCGACCCGUCGCUGCCAAUUCAGCGACCGGGCCUGAGAACCCGGGUA